rnacentral:tRNA from 1 species
AAGGCCUGCUAGCUCAGUCGGUUAGAGCGUCGUGUUAAUAACGCGAAGGUCGUAGGUUCGAUCCCUGCGUUCCUUU